CCUACGGGUGGCCGCAGUGAGGAAUAUUGGUCAAUGGGCGAAAGUCUGAACCAGCCAAGUAGCGUGAAGGAUGACGGCCCUAUGGGUUGUAAACUUCUUUUAUAUGGGAAUAAAAUGGUCCACGUGUGGGUUUUUGUAUGUACCAUAUGAAUAAGGAUAGGCUAACUCCGUGCCAGCAGCCGCGGUAAUACGGAGGAUCCGAGCGUUAUCCGGUUUUAUUGGGUUUAAAGGGAGCGUAGGUGGGUUGUUAAGUCAGUUGGGAAAGUUUGCGGCUCAACCGUAACAUUGCAGUUGAAACUGGCAGUCUUGAGUACAGUAGAGGUGGGCGGAAUUCGUGGUGUAGCGGUGAAAUGCUUAGAUAUCACGAAGAACUCCGAUGGCGAAGGCAGCUCACUGGACUGCAACUGACACUGAGGCUCGAAAGUGUGGGUAUCAAACAGGAUUAGAUACCCCAGUAGUC
rnacentral:rRNA from 1 species